rnacentral:lncRNA from 1 species
UGGAUUCAUUUGUUCAGACUUUGGGAAAGAGCUUGCUUUUGUGAAUACAUCUGAAGGAUUUUCUUUGUUUAUCAUCUUCCCCUUUCCCUCCAAGCUGGUGAGUUGCUUUCACUACUGAUGUACGGUGCCUCUUGUUAACCACGUUUGGCUGUUUGUUGAGUUAAAUUGUAAAUUUGGGUGGAAAAAGAUUCUUUUGAUUACGAUUGUCCUCAAUCCUCAUGCUGGUGUAGACCAAUACUGGUCUCUAGGAUGAAGAAGAGUUCUAGUAGAUUGGAUCUUGAUGGCUGUUCUCUAAAUAAUGGUGUUAUUUUAGAUUGCUUAGCAUAACUUGGAGGAUAGUUUCCUAGCUGAUUGGGGGACCCGAGACAACUUAAACCAUGUUUUUUGAGAUGUCUGCAUAGAAAGCAUUAGGUGGUCAAGAGUCACUUGGCAUAAUUGGUUAAAAUUAUGUAAGAUUACAGCGAAAUAUAAGAUAUAGGGUGGAAUAUUCUUGUAAUAGGCCUAAUUUGCCCGGCCCAAAUCCGAAAUAAAUAAACAAAAAAAUAUCAAAAAAAUAUAAACCAAAUCAACAUUUAAAAGUCCAAAGUCUAAAUACAUGGGCCCAGCAUAGCCCAAAUCGUUUUAAUCUAAUACCCAAUACAAUACCCAAACCUGAGAAACCCAACACCAGACUCAAACCCUAGCCCAAACCUAACCUAAGCCUAAUUAGCUCAAUCUCCAAACCCGGUUACAAACGCAAAUACUCCGGCCCAAUUGCAUUGAAGCCCAAAACGAAAACAGAAACCCUAGGGUUCUGAUAGCCUCCAGCGCCGCAGCCAACGCGCCUCCGUACGGCCACCUUCGUCCACGCCACGUGCGUCUCCAGCUGGCGUAUCUGCGCAGCAAACAGACAAACAACACCAACAAGAGCAACAGAAAAUAUAAAAUAUAAAAAAAUAGCAGAGAAAAGGGAUGGAUUUUUAUUCUUUUAUUUUGAUUUUGAUUUUUUCUCUUCUAUUGGAUUCGGAUAUAAGGCCGAUUAAAAAAACACUGUAAAGGAUUCUCUUUGAUACACAGAUUGAAUACAAAAGAAAAGAAAAUAUUGAGAGAAAAGAAAAAACAGAGUUUUUGAAAAGGUGAUUGACUAUUUAUUUUUUAUUUUUUUUCUGCGUUUUUCUACUGCACUUUUCUUUUGAUUUUUCUUCUUUCUUUGAUACGAAAAACAAAAAUAAAAGGAAGAAGGAGACUAGAUUUGGUACCUAGGUCGGUGCGUCGCCGAAGCCCUCCUCCGUUCAGAUCGGAGUGAAUUUGGGGGGGGGGGGUUCGAUUGUGAAGCGGCGCAAGAAAAAAAGGGUGGCUUUGGGGGCUGGUGUUUAAGCUGGCCUAGGGUUCUAAUUUGAGGGUUAAGAGGGAAUUUUAUUUAGUGCAUAAAACGACACCGUUUAGGGCCAGUUCCAGUGGCCCUAAAACGGCGCCGUAUUAGCCAUUAAGCUUCAAUAACCCGCGCGGUGACCCGACCCGGGGAAGGAUCCGCCCGUUUCUGUAAUUCGGGUUAUUUGCGCAGACGACCCUUCCUCCUUUCAGGCGCAUUGCAAUAUAGUCCUUUUUUACUGUUUUAUUCCCUUUUAAAUUUAGGCGUGCAUUUGCUUUUUUUUUUAUUCAAUUUAGUCCAUACUAAAGCGUUAUGGAAGGGAGGGAAUAUUUUCUCAUUUGGCCCUCCAUGUAAUUCGCACGUUGUACUUUAGUCCUUUAUUCUAUUUUAUUUUGAUUUUUUUUAUACAUAUUAUUAUAUGUUAU